GACGAACGCUGGCGGCGUGCUUAACACAUGCGAGUCGAACGGAAAGGCCUCUUUCGGGGGGUACUCGAGUGGCGAACGGGUGAGUAACACGUGAGUAACCUGCCCUUGACUUUGGGAUAACUUCAGGAAACUGGGGCUAAUACCGGAUAGGAGCUCCUGCUGCAUGGUGGGGGUUGGAAAGUUUCGGCGGUUGGGGAUGGACUCGCGGCUUAUCAGCUUGUUGGUGGGGUAGUGGCUUACCAAGGCUUUGACGGGUAGCCGGCCUGAGAGGGUGACCGGCCACAUUGGGACUGAGAUACGGCCCAGACUCCUACGGGAGGCAGCAGUGGGGAAUAUUGCACAAUGGGUGGAAGCCUGAUGCAGCAACGCCGUGUGCGGGAUGACGGCCUUCGGGUUGUAAACCGCUUUCGCUCAUGACGAAGCUUUGUGUGACGGUAGUGGGUAAAGAAGCAUCGGCUAACUACGUG
rnacentral:rRNA from 1 species